rnacentral:rRNA from 1 species
CAGGACGAACGCUGGCGGCGUGCCUAAUACAUGCAAGUCGAACGAACUCUGGUAUUGAUUGGUGCUUGCAUCAUGAUUUACAUUUGAGUGAGUGGCGAACUGGUGAGUAACACGUGGGAAACCUGCCCAGAAGCGGGGGAUAACACCUGGAAACAGAUGCUAAUACCGCAUAACAACUUGGACCGCAUGGUCCGAGUUUGAAAGAUGGCUUCGGCUAUCACUUUUGGAUGGUCCCGCGGCGUAUUAGCUAGAUGGUGAGGUAACGGCUCACCAUGGCAAUGAUACGUAGCCGACCUGAGAGGGUAAUCGGCCACAUUGGGACUGAGACACGGCCCAAACUCCUACGGGAGGCAGCAGUAGGGAAUCUUCCACAAUGGACGAAAGUCUGAUGGAGCAACGCCGCGUGAGUGAAGAAGGGUUUCGGCUCGUAAAACUCUGUUGUUAAAGAAGAACAUAUCUGAGAGUAACUGUUCAGGUAUUGACGGUAUUUAACCAGAAAGCCACGGCUAACUACGUGCCAGCAGCCGCGGUAAUACGUAGGUGGCAAGCGUUGUCCGGAUUUAUUGGGCGUAAAGCGAGCGCAGGCGGUUUUUUAAGUCUGAUGUGAAAGCCUUCGGCUCAACCGAAGAAGUGCAUCGGAAACUGGGAAACUUGAGUGCAGAAGAGGACAGUGGAACUCCAUGUGUAGCGGUGAAAUGCGUAGAUAUAUGGAAGAACACCAGUGGCGAAGGCGGCUGUCUGGUCUGUAACUGACGCUGAGGCUCGAAAGUAUGGGUAGCAAACAGGAUU